rnacentral:rRNA from 1 species
AGUCGAACGGGGAUGUGCGGAAGCCUUCGGGCUAAAGCGCAUUCCAGUGGCGGACGGGUGAGUAACGCGUGAGGAACCUGCCUCGAACUGGGGGAUAACAGCGAGAAAUCGUUGCUAAUACCGCAUAAGACCACAUGGCCGCAUGGCCAAGGGGUCAAAGAUUAUAUCGGUUUGAGAUGGACUCGCGUCUGAUUAGCUAGUUGGUGGGGUAACGGCCUACCAAGGCAGCGAUCAGUAGCCGAGCUGAGAGGCUGAUCGGCCACACUGGGACUGAGACACGGCCCAGACUCCUACGGGAGGCAGCAGUGGGGAAUAUUGGGCAAUGGGGGAAACCCUGACCCAGCAACGCCGCGUGAAGGAAGAAGGUUUUCGGAUUGUAAACUUCUGUCCUUGGGGACGAAACAAAUGACGGUACCCAAGGAGGAAGCCCCGGCUAACUACGUGCCAGCAGCCGCGGUAAUACGUAGGGGGCAAGCGUUGUCCGGAAUUACUGGGCGUAAAGGGAGCGCAGGCGGUCUUUUAAGUAGGAUGUGAAAUACCCGGGCUUAACCUGGGGGGUGCAUCCUAAACUGGGGGACUUGAGUGUGGGAGAGGAAAGUGGAAUUCCUAGUGUAGCGGUGAAAUGCGUAGAUAUUAGGAGGAACACCAGUGGCGAAGGCGGCUUUCUGGACCAUAACUGACGCUGAGGCUCGAAAGCGUGNGGAGCAAACAGGAUUAGAUACCCUGGUAGUCCACGCUGUAAACGAUGAAUACUAGGUGUAGGGGGUAUCAACUCCCUCUGUGCCGCAGCAAACGCAAUAAGUAUUCCGCCUGGGGAGUACGGUCGCAAGACUGAAACUCAAAGGAAUUGACGGGGGGCCCGCACAAGCAGCGGAGCAUGUGGUUUUAUUCCAAAGCAACGCGGAGAAACCUUACCAAAGGCUUGACAUCCAC